CGGCGGCCGGACCCGUCGCCCCGCCUCCUCCCUCGGGCGGUUCCGGCCGCGCCUCCGCUGGAUCCGGUCGUUGCCGACGCCUCGAGCCCACCGCGCCCUCCGGCUCCCUCCGGCACUCCCCCCCCUCCUCACGCCCUCCGGCGGCCGGAUCCAUCGCCCCGCCGCCUCCCGUGGCCAGUCAACAGCAGCCGCCUCCGCUAGCUCGCUAGCAGCCCCCUCUGGUCGCCAUCAGCCGCCGCAAGCAGCCAGAACCAAGCCACUGCCACACGGUUUAGGGCCUGUUUGGUUUGGUGCUUUUCUGGUGCAAUGAGCAAGGAAAGAUCAGAGGGUAAUAAAAUCUGGAAGCAGAUUGUGGAUUGGAAAUAUGAUACUUACAGCCCUAAUAAUUUUCAUAGCUCAGAUUAUCAAGCUGCAAAGCUGGGUAGUAAGUGGCUGAAAGGAAAUGGAAGAAAAAAUAUAUAUAUUCGGCUGAUACUUGGAUGGGCCCUUGCAACUUAGCUCCACCUUUCCGGGACCUGAUUGUUAUCACUGACGAACCACAUCUCUUAAACUGAGGUAUCGGAUUGCAACAA